GAUGGACGCUGGCGGCGUGCCUAAUACAUGCAAGUCGAGCGAACGGACGAGAAGCUUGCUUCUCUGAUGUUAGCGGCGGACGGGUGAGUAACACGUGGAUAACCUACCUAUAAGACUGGGAUAACUUCGGGAAACCGGAGCUAAUACCGGAUAAUAUUUUGAACCGCAUGGUUCAAAAGUGAAAGACGGUCUUGCUGUCACUUAUAGAUGGAUCCGCGCUGCAUUAGCUAGUUGGUAAGGUAACGGCUUACCAAGGCAACGAUGCAUAGCCGACCUGAGAGGGUGAUCGGCCACACUGGAACUGAGACACGGUCCAGACUCCUACGGGAGGCAGCAGUAGGGAAUCUUACGCAAUGGGCGAAAGCCUGACGGAGCAACGCCGCGUGAGUGAUGAAGGUCUUCGGAUCGUAAAACUCUGUUAUUAGGGAAGAACAGAUGUGUAAGUAACUGUGCACAUCUUGACGGUACCUAAUCAGAAAGCCACGGCUAACUACGUG
rnacentral:rRNA from 1 species